CCUACGGGUGGCAGCAGUGAGGAAUAUUGGUCAAUGGACGAGAGUCUGAACCAGCCAAGUAGCGUGAAGGAUGACUGCCCUAUGGGUUGUAACCUUCUUUUAUAAAGGAAUAAAACGAGGCACGUGUGCCUUUUUACAUGUCCUUUAUGAAUAAGGAUCGGCUAACUCCGUUCCAGCAGCCGCGGUAAUACGAGGGAUGCGAGCGUUAUCCGGAUUUAGUGGGUUUAAAGGGUGCGUAGGCGGAUUUUUAAGUCAGCGGUACAAUGUCCGGGCUCAACCCGGGCCGGCCGUUGAAACUGGGGAUCUUGAGUGGGCGAGAGGUAUGCGGAAUGCGUGGUGUAGCGGUGAAAUGCAUAGAUAUCACGCAGAACUCCGAUUGCGAAGGCAGCAUACCGGCGCCCGACUGACGCUGAGGCACGAAAGCGUGGGGAUCGAACAGGAUUAGAUACCCUUGUAGUC
rnacentral:rRNA from 1 species